UGUACAUACCUGAAAAAAAUAUUGCCUUCACCGUGAAUACACCAAACUUAUACCGGUGACAGAGACCAUAUAAGGUUCAUCGUACUUUUUCGACCCUUUUCCGUUCCUCCGUCGUCUUCCUUUCUCGCUUCUUCUGCAUCGUCCUUCCGUUUCUCUUGUAAGAAAUACCCAGGACGAAGUGGGGGAGAACGAGCAACGAAAGAGGAGAAACAGGCCUUUUGGGCGAGUUGUAGGAAGUGUCUCUUUAACUCCCGCGACAAGCGCAUAUCCUUGUUUUCUAGUUGUGCAGAGUGACGCUUUCCCUCCAGGUCUGGAUUUGCCCCCUUUCCUACUCCUUCUUCUCCUUGAAAUAGCCGCCUUAACUAAAUCUAGGCAGGCAGGCAGCCUUUUUGUGCCUCACGUGUACCCUCGAGGAAAAUGCUGGAGUUUGAACAGCUUGUUGCUUGGAUUGUCAAAAAGGCCACGAUGUCUUGAUUUUUGUGGUUAUUUGAACAGCUUGCUGCUUGGAUUGUCACGACUCAAGAAGGUCGCGAGCUCAACGGCCAUUUCGUUUUAUGUGUGUGCCAAUUGCAAAAGAGAUUCCUAAGAAGGAAUUUUCUGGUCAAAGGAAAGCAGCUCCGAGCAAACAAAUAUGGUGACUUCUGGCACUGACAAGAUACAAGCUGAUCUCUUAUACGCCUCGAACUUGGAAGUCCAACCGCCCAGCUGCAGCUUACCAUGUCCAAUAUCAGCAUAUGGCAGUAGAAAAUGUGGAUGGUGGCCCAACAAUGCUUUCUUGACAAGUUGAGCGAGGGUUUUGAAGAUUGCAGCGGGAAAUGGAACAAGUUGUGGAGCGCGAUUAAGUGCGAGGCAUGAGAGCAAAUGGGGCAUCGGCAGCCAAGAAUAUGACAGUGAGAGCAGGCGCGGUUAGGGCAUGACAGUGUGAUGAUGUUGCGGCUACCAUAUACACCAUUUUGAGUUUGUCCUUCCACACCCUUCAUUUGUAAAAGCUGCUCAAGGGAGAUCAUAAACAAGCCAAUACAGUGGCUCUCCAUUGCUCAACCGCUCCUUGAUUUCUAAUUUUCCUUCAGAAUACUUUCCUUGCAGUCACAGACUUGCCGUUAGUUAGGCAACGCAUGGAAUCAUCACCAUUAGUAAAGGCCGGCCUUGAAGCCUCCAGAAACCAAGAAAAGCUGCUCAAUGGCACCCGCUGCUGUAGUUCUUCUUACAAACACUAUUUUGUGAUCAAGAAACGGAGUGCGCCAUGCUGGCUGGCCAGUCCAUUGACCAGCAGCCCAAAGCUAAUUUGUAUUGCCAGGAGAUACUAGCCAGCACCAAUUUCGAGGCCUUUUCGAUCUUUGUACAAAAAGGAAGAAUCUUUGCUAUUAUGCUUUGGGGAAAGGGCUGCCACCAACUCUCCUUUUGGCACAGCCUUCGGGUCUAUUCUAUUGAUUACUACUAGGUACGCAACGGAUCUGAAUUGGUAUACUGUUAACCAUGUCUAUUGUUUUAGAUUUUCACA